rnacentral:rRNA from 1 species
GAUGAACGCUGGCGGCGUGCCUAAUACAUGCAAGUCGAGCGGUAAGGCUCUGCACCUAUUAUUUGAUCGAGGUAACUCCGGUUACUACAGCAAACCAAUUCAAACCUAGGCUAGGAGAGAUGAGGAGAGGAAGAUCGAGUAAUGUGUGUAGAGUACACGAGCGGCGGACGGCUGAGUAACGCGUAGGACGUACCCCAAAGUGAGGGAUAAGCACCGGAAACGGUGUCUAAUACCGCAUGUGGUCUUCGGAUUAAAGCUUCGGCGCUUUGGGAGCGCCUGCGUAUGAUUAGUUUGUUGGUGAGGUAAUGGCGUCACCAAGGCUUCGAUCAUUAGCUGGUCUGAGAGGAUGAUCAGCCAGACUGGGACUGAGAAC